rnacentral:rRNA from 1 species
GACGAACGCUGGCGGCGUGCCUAAUACAUGCAAGUAGAACGCACAGUUUAUACCGUAGCUUGCUCCACCAUAGACUGUGAGUUGCGAACGGGUGAGUAACGCGUAGGUAACCUGCCUGGUAGCGGGGGAUAACUAUUGGAAACGAUAGCUAAUACCGCAUAAUAUUGAUUAUUGCAUGAUAAUUGAUUGAAAGAUGCUAUUGCAUCACUACCAGAUGGACCUGCGUUGUAUUAGCUAGUAGGUGAGGUAACGGCUCACCUAGGCGACGAUACAUAGCCGACCUGAGAGGGUGAUCGGCCACACUGGGACUGAGACACGGCCCAGACUCCUACGGGAGGCAGCAGUAGGGAAUCUUAGGCAAUGGACGAAAGUCUGACCGAGCAACGCCGCGUGAGUGAAGAAGGUUGUCGGAUCGUAAAGCUCUGUUGUAAGAGAAGAACGGGUGUGAGAGUGGAAAGUUCACACUGUGACGGUAUCUUACCAGAAAGGGACGGCUAACUACGUG